AAGAUCUGUGUCCUGAAAUCUUCCAGGUAUUCCUGGAAUCAAAAUGUCAAAUGUGAUGCUUUUAUUCAAAGCCUUACUAUCAUUCUCCUAUCCAUAUGAUUUUGUCAAGUAAACUAGCAUCUUUCUUUCACAUGGACUCGUGGGCUUAUUGACGUCCCAAACUGUGCUUGAAGUAAUGCCUACAAGAAAUGAAGUCAUGAAAGUAAUUGCUACUUUUGUUUUUUAAAGGGUAUCUUGGCUACACUAGUGGAUUUUCCUUGAGCUGCAUGGUUUUUUUCCUGAUAGUGGUCAUCUACAAGAAAUUUCAGAUUCCUUGCAUGAAUGGGGAACAGAACUCAACAGUAAGUGCUAACGUGACUGACGCGUGCACACCAAAGUAUGUCACCUUCAACUCAAAG
rnacentral:lncRNA from 1 species